rnacentral:rRNA from 1 species
GACGAACGCUGGCGGCGUGCUUAACACAUGCAAGUCGAACGGAAAGGCCCUGCUUGCCGGGUACUCGAGUGGCGAACGGGUGAGUAACACGUGGGUGAUCUGCCCUUCACUUCGGGAUAAGCCUGGGAAACUGGGUCUAAUACCGGAUAGGAGCCAUUUUUAGUGUGAUGGUUGGAAAGUUUUUUCGGUGUAGGAUGAGCUCGCGGCCUAUCAGCUUGUUGGUGGGGUAAUGGCCUACCAAGGCGGCGACGGGUAGCCGGCCUGAGAGGGUGGACGGCCACAGUGGGACUGAGAUACGGCCCAGACUCCUACGGGAGGCAGCAGUGGGGAAUAUUGCACAAUGGGCGCAAGCCGGAUGCAGCGACGCCGCGGGGGGGAUGACGGCCUUCGGGUUGUAAACGCCUUUCGCUAGGGACGAAGCUUUUUGUGACGGUACCUAGAUAAGAAGCACCGGCUAACUACGUG